rnacentral:rRNA from 1 species
UGGGGAAUUUUGGACAAUGGGCGAAAGCCUGAUCCAGCAAUGCCGCGUGUGUGAAGAAGGCCUUCGGGUUGUAAAGCACUUUUGUCCGGAAAGAAAUCCUUGGCUCUAAUACAGUCGGGGGAUGACGGUACCGGAAGAAUAAGCACCGGCUAACUACGUGCCAGCAGCCGCGGUAAUACGUAGGGUGCAAGCGUUAAUCGGAAUUACUGGGCGUAAAGCGUGCGCAGGCGGUUUGCUAAGACCGACGUGAAAUCCCCGGGCUCAACCUGGGAACUGCAUUGGUGACUGGCAGGCUAGAGUAUGGCAGAGGGGGGUAGAAUUCCACGUGUAGCAGUGAAAUGCGUAGAGAUGUGGAGGAAUACCGAUGGCGAAGGCAGCCCCCUGGGCCAAUACUGACGCUCAUGCACGAAAGCGUGGGGAGCAAACAGGAUUAGAUACCCUGGUAGUCCACGCCCUAAACGAUGUCAACUAGUUGUUGGGGAUUCAUUUCCUUAGUAACGUAGCUAACGCGUGAAGUUGACCGCCUGGGGAGUACGGUCGCAAGAUUAAAACUCAAAGGAAUUGACGGGGUCAUAGCUGUUUCCU